rnacentral:rRNA from 1 species
AACGAACGCUGGCGGCGCGUCUUAAACAUGCAAGUCGAACGAUCUGUAGCAAUACAGGGAGUGGCGGACGGGUGAGGAACACGUAGGAAUCUACCUUGAAGAGCGGGACAACUUUGGGAAACCGGGGCUAAUACCGCAUAGUACAGAGAUGUUAAAGGGCUAGCAAUAGUCGCUUCGAGAUGAGCCUGCGGUCUAUCAGCUUGUUGGUGAGGUAAUGGCUCACCAAGGCUACGACGGAUAGCCGGUCUGAGAGGAUGAUCGGCCACACUGGCACUGAGACACGGGCCAGACUCCUACGGGAGGCAGCAGUUAAGAAUCUUGCGCAAUGGGGGAAACCCUGACGCAGCGACGCCGCGUGAAGGAUGAAGGCUUUCGGGUUGUAAACUUCGGUAGACUGGGAAGAAGAAAUACGUUCGUUGAGGGCGUAUAGUGACGGUACCAGUCUGAAGCCCCGGCUAAUUACGUGCCAGCAGCC